rnacentral:rRNA from 1 species
UACGUAGGGUGCAAGCGUUAAUCGGAAUUACUGGGCGUAAAGCGCGCGUAGGCGGCUUUGCAAGCCGGAUGUGAAAUCCCCGGGCUUAACCUGGGAACUGCAUUCGGGACUGCAUUGCUAGAGUAUGGGAGAGGGAAGUGGAAUUUCAGGUGUAGCGGUGAAAUGCGUAGAUAUCUGAAGGAACAUCAGUGGCGAAAGCGACUUCCUGGACCAAUACUGACGCUCAUGUGCGAAAAGCGUGGGGGAGCAA